ensembl:lncRNA
CUGAGAUGUAAAUAACAAACUAUGUGAUAUUUCCAAUUUAUAGUUUAAAGUAAAAUAUGAAACUUAAAGAAGUAAUGACUGUUGGCAUAUUGCAACGUGGAGAUUUAAAGGCCACAGCAUGGUCAUAUUAAAUUGUGGUAUACCCACAAUCAUGUUGGAAUUAACUUUAAUUUCUUUUUGUAACAUUGUAAAUCAGAUUACACUUCAUCUCAAAGAAUCCAGAACUCAUGAUUUACAAUUGAUUUUCUACAUUUUGAAUCUCUGCACAAUGCAGCAGCUUGCAUUCUCUCCGGGAUCUAGAAAUGAGGAAUUCUGGCUGUGUCCUAUUGCGUGUGAAGAGAAUGUCCAGGCUGUCCAACUGUCCAAGCAUCUCUCUGGCUUGCUUUUCUCCAGAAAAGUAUCAACUAAAGGCUGAGUAGGAAGACUAAACAUAGAUGCUACAACUGUCCUUCUCCAGGUUCUGCACAUCAUCCGAGUGUCCUUUGGCAGCAACAGUUGGCCCAAGCCUUGGAGCAGCAGCUGGUAUAUUUUCCAGGAGAGAAUAUGAAGAAAAAGGAGCUGCAGCCAUGCAUUUGCUUUUAAGAAGCACAGGAGGCACUGUGAUACCAAACCUUCCUCGGCUCGACUUUGGCAUAUGGGAUUACCUUGGCGUCAGUAGAAGUGGCAGAAGCAUUCUAAAACCAUGGACAAAAUCUUGCAGCAGGAAGAGCACGAAGUGCAGGCCACCUAGAGAUGAACUUGUACAAAAAAUCUCUUCUUUCAAACAGCAAAGUUUUCUCUACUGCAGGCAUUAUGUGGGCCUGCUGAUGGGCAUGAGUUGGUCUUCAUCCACUGGGUACCAAGGAAGGAGAGACAGUGCAUCUCUGGCUCAUUUCUUAUCUUCAAAAGGCUUGAUCCCAAACUCAUCAAAUUCAGAGGAGUAGAUCCCAGUGGUCUUUGGAUUAGUCUGGUAGGGUGAAAUUGUGGACUU